GCCGGAAUAGCUCAGUUGGGAGAGCGUUAGACUGAAGUUGUUAACAGUCAUCUAAAGCCCUUCCCCCCCGUUUAAUCCCGGCUUCCGGCA
rnacentral:tRNA from 1 species